UACGGAGGGUGCAAGCGUUGUUCGGAAUUAUUGGGCGUAAAGCGCGUGUAGGCGGCUUGAUAAGUCUGGUGUGAAAGCCCGGGGCUUAACCCCGGAAGUGCACUGGAUACUAUCUAGCUAGAGGGUCGGAGAGGGAAGCGGAAUUCUUGGUGUAGGGGUGAAAUCCGUAGAUAUCAAGAGGAACACCGAUGGCGAAGGCAGCUUCCUGGCCGACAUCUGACGCUGAGACGCGAAAGCGUGGGUAGCAAAC
rnacentral:rRNA from 1 species